rnacentral:rRNA from 1 species
AUGGAUUCUAUCAUGGCUAAUGGGGCAUGGGAGAUCAUUGAUCGUCCUUAUGGGUGUAAACCUGUAGGGUGUAAGUGGGUGUUUAAGAAAAAGCUUAGGCCCGAUGGUACAAUUGAAAAGUACAAGGCACGACUUGUUGCCAAGGGCUAUACCCAAAAAGAAGGUGAAGAUUUCUUUGAUACUUAUGCGCCUGUGGCCAGAGUGACCACCAUUCGAGUACUACUCUCAUUGGCCGCCUCACACAAUCUUCUCGUUCAUCAAAUGGACGUUAAGACAGCUUUCCUAAAUGGAGAGUUGGAGGAGGAAAUUUACAUGGAACAACCCGAUGGUUUUGUAGUAGAGGGCUUUGUUGCAAACGAAGCCAACAAGUGUGUGUACUAUCGCCAUGGUGGGGGCGAAGGAGUUAUAUUAUGUUUGUAUGUUGAUGACAUACUUAUAUUUGGAACAAAUCUCAAGGUCAUUCAGGAAGUGAAAGAUUUUCUGAAUCAAAACUUUGAGAUGAAAGACCUUGGAGUAGCUGAUGUUAUCUUGAACAUCAAGCUUUUAAGAGGUUCUGAUGGUGGGAUCACUCUCUUGCAGUCUCACCAUGUGGAGAAGAUUCUGGAUCGCUUUGGAUAUUCAGAUUGCAAACCUUCUCCGACACCUUAUGAUCCGAGUGUUUUAAUUCGGAAGGACGAGGGAGAAACAAAGGAUCAAUUGAGAUAUUCUCAAAUCAUUGGCUCACUUAUGUAUUUAGCUAGUGCUACGAGGCCUGACAUCUCGUUUUCUGUGAGUAAACUAAGCCGGUUUGUUUCAAACCCAGGAGAUGUUCACUGGCAUGCACUUGAGAGAAUAAUGCGCUAUCUGAAAAGUACUGCGAGUUAUGGGCUUCACUAUACCGGGUAUCCAAGAGUACUUGAAAGUUAUAGUGAUGCAAAUUGGAUAUCUGAUGCUAAUGAGCUUAAAGCGACAAGUGAUUAUGUGUUUACACUUGGUGGUGCUGCUAUUUCCUGGAAGUCUUGCAAGCAAACCAUCUUAACAAGGUCAACAAUGGAAGCAGAACUCACAGCAUUAGACACGGCAACAGUUGAAGCAGAAUGGCUUCGAGAACUUUUGAUGGACUUGCCGGUGGUUGAAAAACCAAUACCAGCUAUUCUAAUGAACUGUGAUAAUCAAACAGUGAUCGUCAAGGUAAACAGUUCUAAGGAUAAUAAGAAGUCAUCAAGACACGUGAGAAGGAGACUGAAAUCUGUCAGGUUCAUGAGAAACUCUGGAGUUAUAGCGUUGGACUAUAUAAACACAUCGAAGAAUCUGGCAGAUCCCUUCACAAAGGGUUUAUCACUAAAUGUGAUAGACAAUGCAUCGAAGGAGAUGGGAUUGAGACCCACUACAUAA